GAACUCAGAUGUGGUUCACUGCAUUCUCCCAGGUGAAUGGGCUCCUCUAAAAAGAUGGGAGAUGUCGGCCUCUCCAGUGCACAGCACACUCAGAAUUACAAAUCUAAGUGUGACCUACGUGUGAGGAGCCACAGAGGAAGAGAAGAACCAUCAAGGCUACUGGCUAUCUUGUAACAGUAAACACAGCUCACGAAAUACCCAGCAAAGGAAGGGUGAUGAACCAACGUGAACAAGAGACUCUCAUGUUCCAAGUGGAUCUGAAAGUUGGGAAUUAGCUUCCUACCAAGGAAACUACCUGGUCCCCAGUAGGAAGACACACUGGAUCUUCCCUGGCUUUGAGCUGUUGAUCAGUGCUCGGAAUCAGCUAUGUAGCAUCCCUGUUCAGUUAGCCAGUACAGACAGCCUUCAGGGCGCUGGUGCUCAGGGGGAGAGCCCACGAUUAUUCAGUUGUGAAAUGACAGUCAUGUGAUUUGCUGGCACUUGGGAACAGACUCCUAACCACAGCCACGUUCCUGCUCCACUGAUGUGUAGGCACAGGAAUGUAGGAUCACACUCCUAAUAUUCCCAUGACCAGAAACAGUGAGGAUGCCAAGAGAGCUACUCAUUUGAGGGACACAUUCUCACUACCAGCUGGGAGACAUUGCCUUUGCGCUCAUCUUCUUGACCAUUAAACAGAGAGGCAUCAUUCAUUGGCAGCAAGACUAAGAAAGCAGGACAUGAGACUAGUGAGAGUGUGGAUUACCAGCUGUAACUAGUGUGAACUGACUAGAUCCAGGGACUACUAACUCAAUCACGGGGGCCUAGAAACACUAGGAAAUUAAGCUUAGACAUUCUUUCUGCUCACAGCAGUGCCCAGCACUACACAGACGGAAGCCCGGCAGACCUGACAGGCUCUUGGCUCUCACAGGGGCUGUAAUCUUAGUUGUAAUCUGUGAUGCUGGAUCAUUUAGCUUCCCUGAAUACUGUCGUAUAUUAGGACCCACAAGGGGCCUUACAUGGCAUGCCCCUUCUCCACGUCAAAACACUGGCCCGGAUUUAAGAAUCAAAUAAAAGCAUUUGCAAAAGGGUGCCUUUUAUUCAGAAUAAAGGACCUAUCCUUCGUGUGAAAUAGCCUCUUUGGCGGCCCACACAGACUUGCAGUGGACUGGUCUUCACUCAGGUAUAGAAAUGUUCAUGUUAGAUUUUGCUAAAAGACUAUGGGGCAAAGGCUACAGGAGUCCUCUGUGUCUCUCCAUCUGCCUCUUCCCAGGUACUCUUUCUGUUUUUCUGAACAUACAGAAAACUUCACUUUUACUGAAUGAGUAAGUAACAUUAAGCUACAAAGAAUGAAGAAAAUGGAAUAGGAACUUGAACAUAUAUUUUUAAAAAAACGCAUAAUUCUAGGUCCUUUUAAGAGAUAUCACACUGAAUUAAGGUUGAUUGUUUGAUUUGAUUUGAUUUCAUUUGGUUCGCUUGUUAGCUCACACUUAGAAUCCCAACACUCUUGAAGACUGAGUCAGGAGGACUGCAAGCAGUCAGUUUGAGGCCAGCCUGGGCUACAGACAGGGUUUCACUCUACCAUACCCUUGUUCCCAAAGAGUGUUAGCAUCUAGCCUAGUCAUAGCUUCUCCUGGCUUUGAACUCACAAUCCCUUGCCUCAGCCUUCCAACUGCUGGGGAUUGCAGGUGUGCAGCACCAUGGCCAGCUGAACACAGUUAAUUUCGUUAAGACUUUGAAGGGCUGCGUGGAAAUGAGCCCAUCUUCAGUCCAUGGUUGACAUUAUCAGGAGUUCUCAGCACAAAGCAAGAACACUGUUCUUGCUUGCCUUUAAAACACCUGACUAAGCACAUGGCUAUUAUAUGAAACCAUGUUUCUCAAACUCAGAACCAAAUGAGUGUGACUAGGCAUGUGACUGGGCAUGUAACUGACUAGACAUGUGACAGACUGGUCAUGUGACUGGGCAUGUGACUGUCGUGUGACUGGGCAUGUGACUGUCAUGUGACUGGGCAUGUGACUGACUGGGCAUGUGGAUGACUGACUGGGCAUGUAACUGACUGGUCAUGUGACUGUCAUGUAAAUGGUCAUGUGACUGACGGACUGGGCAUAUGACUGGGCAUGUAACUGGACAUGUGAUGUGACUAAACACACCUUUCAUUAUUCAAAUUCUAGUCACUACCUAGAACUCAAGAACUAAACAGAUACUUGUAAAUAUCUUUUUUAAAAAACCUAAAUACAUGUCUCUUCAACUUGUUUUACAAAGGAUAGCCUACUGAAAAGUGAAUUUAUAAUAUCCCUCUACAUACAUAUUUGUCAUAUACAUAUAUACACAUAUACAUUAUACACAUACAUGUACAAAUAUGUAUACACAUACACACUUAUACACAUAAACAAUCUACAUAUAUACCCAAAUGUUCAUAUACAUGUAAUAUGCUUUCUUGCCAUCCUCUAUCCAUCAUUCACUGGUGCCCAGGACGAAGAAUAUCAUCUCAUACAAAAUAACUGGAUCAUCCUCGUUUAUACGUAUAUCAGACCUAAUCCUAGCCCAAGUAUUUGAGGCUGUGGCAUGGUACUCAAGACUCAAUCAUGGUCAUGAAAGAAGAAAGAACAAACUCCUGGAGGACCAUCCCACCGUCCCUAGCAUGAAGCAUGACAAACUUUAUUUAGUGCUUUUUAACAGUGAUUAUCCCAGUCAGCUGUGUGGGCAGUAAGAGGAUCACCAUGGGUGUGUGUCAACAACAACAAAAAAAGCCACUGGGUGACAUUGGCUCAGAGUACUUGUCAUAGUAUCAAAAUAUAGUGAAUAUUUAUGGAAUAGUGCAAACAUUUUAAUAAAGUAUCAAAGGAUUCUUAGAGUGCUAUUCCUAUACUACCCCUAGAAUCCACAGCUUUACAAAAUGGUGUGUUUUAUGUUUUUGUAAUUCUCAAAGUUUUACUGUUGUUUAUUCAGAAUAAAAUCAAUUUAAAUG
ensembl:antisense Gm15638 predicted gene 15638